ACAAUACUCCCUCCGUUCCAAAUUACUCGUCACAGAAAUGGAUGUAUCUAGAACUAAAAUACAUCUAGAUACAUCCAUAUCUGCGACAAGUAAUUCGGAACGGAGGGAGUACAUG
rnacentral:pre_miRNA from 1 species